AAAGAGCAGGCCAAAGAGUCAGAGACAGACUUUUUCCACUGUUAGGAGUCCCACAAAAAGACCAAGCUAACAGCCGCUACAUGCUACAUAGAAGCAGAGGACCUAGUACAGACUCAUGCAGGCCACAUGCUUGCUGCUUCAGUCUCUGGGAUUCCUUAAGCUUCAAAGGGAGGGACCCGAAGGAAACCUCUGAUUUAGACUCUCUCUGCCUAAUGUUUGGCUGUGAGUCUCCACACCGCGUUUGCUGCUGGAGGAAACCUCUCUGAUGACAACUGGAAACAGAACGGAUUUUGCAGAUGGACUGGGGUGCACAUGGAAAGAGCAGGAGAGAUCAGCUGGGAGGACACGGAGGGAGAAAGUGCAGAGAGAGAGAGAGCUGGGACUGGGGAGCACUAAGGGGACAGUGUGGAAAUGAGUGCAAUGGAAACUUUCUGGGAGCUGCUUAUUUUUUAAAAACUGCUCAUCUCAAUUUUCUGAAAGCUUUUGUGGGUUGCAAAGUAUACUUCCAAUAGAUUUUAUUUUUGCUUAAGUUAGCCAGUAAGCUUCUUUUGUUUGCAACCAAAUAAACCUAAUUGCCACGAUGCAUGCCUUCCUCAGAGAGCAACUUACAGAUUCUCAGAUGCAGUUUUUAUGAGGUUCAUCCUCUCUUUUUUCAUAGUAUGGAAGCACACGCAUGUGUGGUUCUUGGCCCAAGCCAACAUCUUUCUUGAACAAGAAAUGAGUACACAGUCCAGAGACACUUCAUGGUCAAUAUAUUUUACCAAAGCAUUGAUCAAUUAUCUUUAUUCCCAUGAAUCACUGAGCUUUGUGUCUAGAUUUGUUGAUGUAACUCUUACCUUCUUCAUCCUCAGAAUCUAAAACUAAGAAAAAAAUUGUAAAAUAAAAAUAAUGUGUAAAACACAGAUCAAGUAAUUUCAGAAAAAUGAACUAUUAUUAAGGAAAAAUAUUUGUUGCAUACACAGGUGCUAAAUAAUAUAAAUUAUAUAUAAGAUGAAGUGAAAUUUGUUGUUUUAUAGCACAGCAUACUUGGAUUUGAUGAAUUUAUGUAUCUUCAUAAGUAAUGAUUGUUUACAACUUAAAAACAUAGAUUGGAAUCCUUACCUUUUCCUUAUGAUGCCUGUAGUAAAGAGAAGAAAAAUAUGAAUUCUAGAAAAUUGCCUUUCCUUUAAAAACAACAGUAGCAAAGCAUGACACAUUUAAUAAAGGCUUGGUUGUAGACUUUCUUCAUUCCUGAGAACCAACAAAAAUAUCUCAAGGGACAGAUCAUUAAAUGUUACCGCAGACAGCAUCUCUGGAGGCAUCUCUGAAGGUGGGAGGCACUUAUUAGAAGGAUGUUUAGAAAGCUCUGGCUGUUGUCUCAAAAAUCAUUCCUGCAGAACAUAACAGGAUAGUUACCAAGCAUUUCUGAAAGCUGUGUAUCACUGAAAAGAUUCUGUUCAUUAGAAAUAUAGUAAGUUAUAAAUGGUAAAGGCAGAAAAGGGGUAAGUUGUGGGAAUAAAGUAUAAAUUAAACAUGGGAAGCAUAUUGUAACCAUCAGAAAUCAUUUGGUAUAUAUUACCUUAUUAUUUUGUAUGUGUGCUGAGAUCUGGCAAUAUACCAUAGUAUUAGUUCAUGCUUCAAUUUAUACUGAAAAAAAGAGAAAAAAGAACAAGGGAAGAAAAAAUAUGGAAUAAAAAGGUCCAUAGCAUGCUGUUUUCUUAUUCUCAUUUUUCAUUUUGCAUUAUUAGUUAAACCUUCUGACAUUCAUAACAUAAACCAAGUUUAGAAGCCUUCAUUAGCUAUAAUUAAUUCCCAUUACUUUUUUUUUUCUUCCAGGAAGGAUUAUUACUAAAACCAUGAUUUUUCUCCCAAACCUUAAUUUUCCCUUGACCCAGCAAUUUACAUUUAUUUCAAUGAUUCCAGAUAACAAGCAUGGUGCAGUUCAUGUGCAUUGAUCCAGAUUUAGGAAGCAUUUUCAUCUUCAGUUUUAUUUGCUUCUCUUAGGGGUCCUAUUUUGUAAUGAAUAAAACUUUCUUCUCAUGGAGAUUUGUCUGAUGUAUUAAACAGUAUGAUUUAAGGAUUAGUUCAAGAUCACACAUAUAUUAGAAAAGAAAUUUCAAGUAUACAUCUCUCAAAACUCAUAGUCUGUCGCUUAUUACUUCAUUCAGUCCAUUUACUUUACAAAGUGUGCAAACACAUAUUUAUUGAAUCCAGACAUCUACCCUUCUAGACCCUGGUCAGGACUGCUUUUUGCCCAAGGUGAGUCAGCAUGGCUUAUCAGAAUGGCUUGUCCUCUAGACCACUGUGCUGGUAUCAAUUGAGGCUGCAACCUCAGAUGACCAUUUACUGAUGACAGGCAGACUCUGACUUAUGAAGUAUCAACUUUAUCCACUUUAUGAUAAUAGACAAAGAAUGUGAGUUCAGUAGAUGCUAUACUUUGAAUUUUGAUCUCUUCUCCAAGUUUAUGACAUGUGGGUUUAGUGGUACACUAUGAUGGUACCAGCAAGCAAUUACUAGAGCAAACAACUAAUAUUACAGAGUUAGCUCAGUUGCUAAACGAUCCUGUUUGUUAGCUUAGGUGUAUUGCGUGCUUGGGAGUCAAUCCUAUGAGAAGUUGAAAGGCUUCUAAGCCUGUUUGUAACUAAUUUUCAUGGAAGACAUUUUUAGUUUAAAUUUUAUUCUGCAUAUGAUACUGAUAUAUCUUGAACCUGAGGAUGAACCUCUGGGCCUAAUUCUAGGCUAGCCAUUCUUUCCCAUCCAGAAACCUUACAUGGGUGGCUACCAGCUCGACUUUGUUGAGGAAGAGCAUUCUCAAGCUAGAGCCUAAUCCCACAGACACUUCUUUAGCUUCUUGGAGUUGUAAUGCAAUAUAGAUUUCACACCUUUUCUGCGAACUAAUCUUCAUCAUCAAUUUAUUCUUUAUUUUUUAGGGGUUCUUAUGACGUUUGCUGUCAUUGUGAAUUUUAAUAAACUACUCACUUUCUCACAUCUUAAUAUCAGUAACCACUCAGCAAGUUGGCUGUCUCCCCCCGCCCAUUGGUUUUAACUUCUAACUCAGAGGGACUCAGAGGGCCUAAAUCACAGAGUUUAAAAUUUUAGUCAUAUGCUACUGUAUCUUUGCCUUUGCUUUAAAUUUUCUGCAUUAUGAAAAUAUCCCAACUUCAGUCUCUGACUUAAUCCCCUCCCCAGCUUUAAUUCAUUCAGCAAGUUUUCUAAAUGAUAUCUCCCUUCAAUAGCUAAUGGGUAGCCCAUAUUUGAAUGUCUACCUCUAAGUCUGCAGUAGUCCCAGAAUAUCGCAAAUAUUCUUACAGUGAUUUUAUAAUCUGCAGUCUGAUCUAUUACUAAAACUUCUCAGCUCAAGCUUCAACAUAUAUCAAAAAAUGAAGAAUUCCAAAGUUACAAGCUUCAUCCAGACCACCAUCACUGCUUUUCCAGCUUCUAUGAUACUAGCAGUAGGGGGUUUCUGAUGUAUUUUACAAGAAGAAAGCCAAUGUAUAUAUUUAAAAUUUAAAACGUAAAUUAAAUCAUGGCCUUUCCGUAUAUUAAAUUAUUAAUCUAUUCUAUCCUCAGGAAAUAUCUAAACAUCUUAUAAUGAACAUGUUGAUUGUACAAAUAAUCCAAAUCAAAGCAAAAAACAAUCGAUUACUUCUCUUAAUAUAUUUCUGACAUUUUUUUUUCCAUUUUGUUUUUUUCUUUUCUAAUUUUAAUUUUGAGACAGAUCUCACUAUGUAGCCCAGGGUACCUAGCAAUCACUAUGUAGCUCAGGCUGGGAUACUUUUUAUUUUUGCAUGGAAUCUUUAUCAUUCUUUUUUUUUUUAAAAAAAAAAACAUUCAAAUUAGAUUCAGUGUUCUAGUUUUUAUCCCUUCUGUAUAUGGUUGUAGUUUAACAAGGUAUAACCAUGAUCAUUGUUUCUGCUCAUAUAUCACUGGUUUAGAAGCACAUAACCUGACUACUGUAUAUGUUUUAUGAUCCAGAUAUUUGCCUUUUCCUUCUUAUUUUAGUCCUGAUGUUUGAGUUUUUCUGUUACUGUUGCCCAACAUCCCAGGAGAUUAUCACACUGCAAGCCUGGAGAAAUGAUUAAAAUUCAAAAUGUGAACUAUGGAUCUUAACAUAUAUGUACUGCUUAUAUACCAUCCUAAAGCUGGAAAAUAAUACAUUAAACCACAAUAUUUUGGGAACCAUUGAUCUAUCUAUAUCUAUCUAUCUAUCUAUCUAUCUAUCUAUCUAUCUCAUCUAUCUAUCUACCAUCUGUCUAUCACCAUCUAUCUAAUACAUACAUAAUACAUGCAUGUACACGUAUGUGUGUAAAAAGAUAAAAGAAUGCCUAAGCCAAGUAAGUGUAUGUAAGUUCUGUUUGUCCGGAGAGGAAUUUUACAGGAUAUAAGUUCUUCCCAUUUUUUACAUGUUUAUUAGAAGUUGUAGUGAAAAUGUUUUCACUUUUUCUUUAGGAAUGCAUGGGAACUUUGUAGGAGAUAUUUUUCUCCCCAGUGAGAAUCAAAGAGGAUUGCCCAGAUAUAUAAAGAAAAGGUGGACUCAGAGUCAUAUAUAAGAAUAAAUACUUAGAAUUUGGGAUAUACUGAUAUGUUCAAGGGAAGUAUUUACAGGCCUCAAUGCUGAAGGUGUGACUUUUCUAAACAAAUAUAGAGGGUAUUCUACUAAAGAGAGUAAAUGGAAAAAGACUAGGCUUAGGAAGGAGUGGACAUAGUGGAUGUAGAAAAGACAUCACUCACAUAAAUACUGUGAACACUGAGAACUACAUUGUCCAUAUCAAACUAAGAUUGUCCUGCAAGAAAUGUGAGCAGGCAGAUUGGAAAGGUUGAAAUUCUCCAUGAGGGGAGUCCUAGUGAGUUUUGAGGCAAUAUUCUUAUAGUAAUUGGGCAUAUCUCCUUUCUCUGUAACAGAAUAAUGGAGAAACUAUGUAUUUUAAAAGAUUAACGUGGAAGAUUCAUGACAUUUGUAUUUUGCAUUCACUCUUUGUUGUCCAUCUCUAAAACUGUAGCAUUUUCCUUGGAGAUUAAUAAAAAAAAUUUCAUUGGU